AUUCUACUCCCUCCUUCCAAAAAUUCUUGUCUUAGAUUUGUCUAGAUAUGAAUGUAUCGAGUCACAUUUUAGUAUUUUGAUACAUUCAUUUCUAGACAAACCUAAGACAAGAAUUUUGGGAUGGAGGGAGUAUAAA
rnacentral:pre_miRNA from 1 species